AGUAACGCGUGGGUAACCUGCCUCGCACAGGGGGAUAGCAGUUGGAAACGACUGAUAAUACCGCAUAAGCGCACAGUACCGCAUGGUACAGUGUGAAAAACUCCGGUGGUGUGAGAUGGACCCGCGUCUGAUUAGCUUGUUGGCGGGGUAACGGCCCACCAAGGCAACGAUCAGUAGCCGACCUGAGAGGGUGACCGGCCACAUUGGGACUGAGACACGGCCCAG
rnacentral:rRNA from 1 species